rnacentral:rRNA from 1 species
GUACACGCUGUGACUAGCAUAUCAAUAAGCGGAGGAAAAGAAACUAACAAGGAUUCCCCUAGUAACGGCGAGUGAAGCGGGAAGAGCUCAAAUUUGAAAUCUUAAAGGGUUUCCCUUUACGAAUUGUAGUUUAAAGGAGUGUUUUCUGUUGAGGUUUUGGUAAAAGUUCUUUGGAAUAGGGACAUCAUAGAGGGUGAGAAUCCCGUAUUUGACCUUUACUUUCAACUUUGUGAUACACUUUCAAAGAGUCGGAUUGUUUGGGAAUGCAGUCCAAAAUGGGUGGUAAAUUUCAUCUAAAGCUAAAUAUUGGCGAGAGACCGAUAGCGAACAAGUACCGUGAGGGAAAGAUGAAAAGAACUUUGAAAAGAGAGUUAAACAGUACGUGAAAUUGUCAAAAGGGAAGCGUUUGACACCAGUGUUGUUUUUCUGAAAAUCAAUUAAAGAACUGUUUAUGCUAAGCUGUUUAGACUUUAUCAGCUAAUCUGUUUAGUUUUGAGCUUUUCUUUAAUGCACUUUUCAGUUAACAAGUCAACAUCAAUUUCUUUUGCUGUAAAAAAGCUUGAGGAAGGUGGCUUGAGAUUCGUCUUAAGUGUUUAUAGCCUCUUGCCUAUGCAGUCGGAGAGAUUGAGGUCUGCAGCGUAAAUCCUUCGGGGCUAAAUGCAUUUGUGCUAAGUUAUAGCAUUUUAUAGACAACUUGUUGACUAUGAUUUGUCUUGUAGCUUACUCGCUUAUGUUAUUUUACCUACGCUUAGGAUGUUGAAGAUGUAGCACAUCAU